CGGUAACAGGAAGAGCUUGCUCUUCGCUGACGAGUGGCGCACGGGUGCGUAACGCGUAUGCAAUCUACCUCUAACUGGGGAAUAGCCCGAAGAAAUUCGGAUUAAUACUCCAUAGUAUUACGAAAAGGCAUCUUUUUGUGAUUAAAGUUUUUACGGUUAGAGAUGGGCAUGCGUCCCAUUAGUUUGUUGGUGAGGUAACGGCUCACCAAGGCUACGAUGGGUAGGGGGCCUGAGAGGGUAAUCCCCCACACUGGUACUGAGACACGGACCAGACUCCUACGGGAGGCAGCAGUGAGGAAUAUUGCGCAAUGGACGAAAGUCUGACGCAGCCAUGCCGCGUGCAGGAAGAAUGCCCUACGGGUUGUAAACUGCUUUUGUACGGGAAGAAACCCCUCUACGUGUAGAGGGCUGACGGUACCGUACGAAUAAGCACCGGCUAACUCCGUGCCAGCAGCCGCGGUAAUACGGAGGGUGCAAGCGUUGUCCGGAUUUAUUGGGUUUAAAGGGUACGUAGGCGGAUGCUUAAGUCAGUGGUGAAAGCCUGCGGCUCAACCGUAGGAUUGCCUCUGAUACUGAGUAUCUUGAGUGCGGUAGAGGUGGGCGGAAUUCAUGGUGUAGCGGUGAAAUGCAUAGAUACCAUGAGGAACACCGAUAGGGAAGCCAGCUCACUGGACCGUAACUGACGCUAAGGUACGAAAGCGUGGGGAGCCAACAGGAUUAGAUACCCUGGUAGUCCACGCUGUAAAC
rnacentral:rRNA from 1 species